rnacentral:lncRNA from 1 species
CGAUACGAAACUUUAUCCACCUUCCAAAAGUGACUGUGAAACCAUGCAAGUAGAAGUUGUGCACAUCCGAUAAAUCUACCUUCACCCGUCUUUUGGCAUGCACUCAAUGACCUGAAGGUUUCUGCCAAAAUUGUCGGAAUCGGUGUAACCUUCUUAUCAAGCCGAUCAAAUAAAUCGGCGACUGCUUCGUCCACAUGCCCCAAGGCUUUAGGGAAGACAACCAAGC